CUAGGAGACAGACCUUCAGUCGUGCCUGCCAGGGAUCGGUUAGCAUCCUAGCAUGCUUGUGGGAUUAUCUUGAUGGGAUUGAGGUGCGAAAACCCACCCUAAUAUGAGUGACUCCAUUCUCUGAGCUUGAGUCUUUGGUGGCAUAAUAACAAGGAAGAGAGCUAAGGAGCAGAACACAUCCCUCUGUCCCCUGACUGAAAGUGAAGUGACCAGCUGCCACCAAGACUUGCACAACAUAAUGGGCCGUGCCCCGAUACUGUGAGACAAAACCAACACUCCCCUAAAUUGCUUUUGUCUGAUAUUUCAUUGCAAAACAGGAAAAGAAACUAAGACGGGGCCUGUGGUUUUAUUUACUAAAUCUGUCUGUUCUGGGAGGUGCAGAUCACGGGUGCCAGCCCUUCUUCACCCACCUCAUCCCCAUCUUAAAGCACAGAGAAAGCUGGUCGAUGAGUCUGCUGACCAGCAGGGGGCGCCUGCCCAAUUCUGAUGGUUUCCUGCCUAUAGCUCAUGGAUGCAAUUUGGAGGUGGCCACUGGGUGGCACCAUUAUGUCACAUAUGCCUACUGAGAAUCCUGUUGACUGCUGGACAGGGGACAAGUCUGGAAUCCAAAGCCCUCAUCUGGACUGACUCUGCUAUGGGGACUCUGCAUGAGUAUAUCUUCCUGUCUACAGCCUGGGGGUCUUUGUCCCUGGCUCAAUUUCACUCACUGGCUUCUGUGGCUGAGGGUCCUUGGGCUCUUACCUCUGUGGAACCUAAAAGCCCCUGAGAGGGACGUUGAAUGAAUUCAGGGUAGACAAGCCCAACCCUGGGCCAGAGCCUAAACAAGACAAACAGCCCACAGCAUUCAUUUUGGGGAGGUUGGGCUGGAACCCACUUGGCACAGAGGACCAGGAACUUGGAGGUCUCAUAGGGAGGCUUACAAGUUGGCUAACAGCCAUGCUGCUGCUGAUCCAUCCUGCCAGGUCCCAGCCUGGCAGAAGUCAUUUUGCAGCAAGGAGAGACUAAGACAGCAGUGGGAUCUCAAGGAUCUGAGCUGAGUCUGAUGUCCUCGCUGUACAGGGUGUUGUGGGAACGAAAGGCUAAUCAAAAGCCAUGGUGCCUGAAACCCUUAAAGGACCAAAGUCCGGAGACUCAGGCUGGCGUUCACCUCCUGCAGUCAGUGUGCAUCCUGGGUAAGGCAGACGUGUCCAUCCACCUGUUGAAGGAGCAUCUUCAGGAGAUACUGAGCUCAUCACCCUCAGAGACCUCCAAGCAAGGUCCCAUCCGAUGUCCACGGGGAACACUGUGAGAAGCACUGAUGGGCUGUGGUUGCUGGGUGCAGGGACACAGAAGGGGUCACUGAAACUUGCCCUAAGCUCUGAAGGGUGCUUACCCCUAGUGGCUACCUGAUGCUCAGAGAUGCCCCAAGGCAGUCUUCAGACACCCGAUGCCUGGGCCUCACUUGCAGGCACACGGGGUCCCUUGGAGGGGAAACCAGGGCAGUGUGAGUGAAAUCCGAGAACAAAGGUGCGUAUUUGCUUACAAGCGGAGAGAAUCACAGAAUUGACACAUUCCUCACAAUUGACAAAUAGCACGGAUAUUGGAAGGAGAAAACCCGGAAAAAAUAACAUGUGAUUUUUAUUAGCAGUCUGGCAGGUAAUAAAAAUGGGGCUUGCACUGUCUUUGCUGCCUUUCUGUCUGUCUGAUCCCGAGCCGCCUUUUCCCCACGACGAGCCUGCGAUAUCAUUUUCUAUACAAAGACAAGCAAGAUUAUCUCCUUCCCUCGGGAGCCUGGUGUAAAUUUGGUUUUGAUUAUUGUUGGGGUUUUUUUUUUUGGGAGGGGUUAAGGAAAAGAAAAACAAUUUGUUUUGUUUUGUUUUGUUUUUGCGUUUAGCUUCAGAACUCAUGGCAAUGUCAAAAAAAAAUAUGAGCUGCCUCUUUGCCACAUACUUCUGCCUCCAUUACCUUCAGCCCAAGUACAGAGGGACAAGUAACCAUGGAUGGAACCUUUUGGAGCCAGGAGCCAAAACAAAACUGCCUCCCCUCAAAUUGUUCCUGUGUGGUUUGGUCAAAGCAAUGAGAAGAGCUGCUGUGAUCCUUAACUGGCUAUAAAGUGGAGCUCCUCCUGGGCCACAGAUGACUCGCUUCCUUGGUGAG
rnacentral:lncRNA from 1 species